rnacentral:rRNA from 1 species
GUCUAUGGCCAUACCACCCUUAAUGCACCUGAUCUUGGAAGUUAAGCAGGCCUGGGCCUGGUUAGUACUUGCAUGGGAGACCACUUGGGAGUACUAGAUGCUAUAGACU